AGCGCAGGCGGGAAGACAAGUUGGAAGUGAAAUCCAUGGGCUCAACCCAUGAACUGCUUUCAAAACUGUUUUUCUUGAGUAGUGCAGAGGUAGGCGGAAUUCCCGGUGUAGCGGUGGAAUGCGUAGAUAUCGGGAGGAACACCAGUGGCGAAGGCGGCCUACUGGGCACCAACUGACGCUGAGACUCGAGAUGUGGGUAUAAACA
rnacentral:rRNA from 1 species